AACGCACAUUGCGCCCGCCAGCAUUCUGGCGGGCAUGCCUGUUCGAGCGUCAUUUCAACCCUCAAGCUCUGCUUGGUGUUGGGGCCCUACGUCUGACGUAGGCCCUCAAAGACAGUGGCGGACCCUCUCGGAGCCUCCUUUGCGUAGUAACUAACGUCUCGCACUGGGAUUCGGAGGGACUCUUGCCGUAAAACCCCCAAUUUUUACAGGUUGACCUCGGAUCAGGUAGGAAUACCCGCUGAACUUAA
rnacentral:misc_RNA from 1 species